GAUCCUGGCUCAGGAUGAACGCUAGCUACAAGCUUAACACAUGCAAGUCGAGGGGCAGCAUGGUCUUAGCUUGCUAAGGUCCGAUGGCGACCGGCGCACGGGUGAGUAACACGUAUCCAACCUGCCGUCUACUCGUUGGACAGCCUUCUGAAAGGAAGAUUAAUACAAGAUGGCAUCAUGAGUCCGCAUGUUCACAUGAUUAAAGGUAUUCCGGUAGACGAUGGGGA
rnacentral:rRNA from 1 species